rnacentral:tRNA from 1 species
GACUUUGUAAUACCCUUUCAAUUGACAUAGACCCGAGUUUUCUAGUAAAAUGAGGAUGCGGCAUCGGGAAUGGUC